AGAGUUUGAUCCUGGCUCAGGACGAACGCUGGCGGCGCGCCUAACACAUGCAAGUCGAACGGAGUUAUUUUCUUCACUCCGAGCUUUUUACCAGUUAGCCGGAGCGGCAAUCGGUUUUGCCCAGCAUACAAAGCAAAACCGAUUUAGGCUCAUAAAGUAAGACUAACACAGAGGGCAGAGAGUUGGGAGUGAAGAAAAUAACUUAGUGGCGAACGGGUGAGUAACGCGUGAGUAACCUGCCCUGGAGUGGGGGACAACAGUUGGAAACGACUGCUAAUACCGCAUAAGCCCACGGAGCCGCAUGGCUCUGAGGGAAAAGGAUUUAUUCGCUUCAGGAUGGACUCGCGUCCAAUUAGCUAGUUGGUGAGGUAACGGCCCACCAAGGCGACGAUUGGUAGCCGGACUGAGAGGUUGAACGGCCACAUUGGGACUGAGACACGGCCCAGACUCCUACGGGAGGCAGCAGUGGGGGAUAUUGCACAAUGGGGGAAACCCUGAUGCAGCGACGCCGCGUGGAGGAAGAAGGUUUUCGGAUUGUAAACUCCUGUCGUUAGGGACGAUAAUGACGGUACCUAACAAGAAAGCACCGGCUAACUACGUGCCAGCAGCCGCGGUAAAACGUAGGGUGCAAGCGUUGUCCGGAAUUACUGGGUGUAAAGGGAGCGCAGGCGGACCGGCAAGUUGGAAGUGAAAACUAUGGGCUCAACCCAUAAAUUGCUUUCAAAACUGCUGGCCUUGAGUAGUGCAGAGGUAGGUGGAAUUCCCGGUGUAGCGGUGGAAUGCGUAGAUAUCGGGAGGAACACCAGUGGCGAAGGCGACCUACUGGGCACCAACUGACGCUGAGGCUCGAAAGUGUGGGUAGCAAACAGGAUUAGAUACCCUGGUAGUCCAUGCCGUAAACGAUGAUUACUAGGUGUUGGAGGAUUGACCCCUUCAGUGCCGCAGUUAACACAAUAAGUAAUCCACCUGGGGAGUACGACCGCAAGGUUGAAACUCAAAGGAAUUGACGGGGGCCCGCACAAGCAGUGGAGUAUGUGGUUUAAUUCGAAGCAACGCGAAGAACCUUACCAGGUCUUGACAUCCGAUGCAUAGCACAGAGAUGUGUGAAGUCCUUCGGGACAUCGAGACAGGUGGUGCAUGGUUGUCGUCAGCUCGUGUCGUGAGAUGUUGGGUUUAGUCCCGCAACGAGCGCAACCCUUAUUGCCAGUUACUACGCAAGAGGACUCUGGCGAGACUGCCGUUGACAAAACGGAGGAAGG
rnacentral:rRNA from 1 species